CGUUUUACCGGGACAAAAUCAGUGUACAAGUACUAGCUGCAAUAAUGUAGACCUAUCCAAUUUUUUUUAUUCUGAUGUUUUCGGGAUAGGGCUACAAUUCCAUAGGAUCUCCGUAAUGGUGCAAAAUAAUUUUAUGAAUAACCGAUAAUAAACUCUGUGUAUUAGUCCCAAAUGUUGUUUACACCAAAAGGAGUACCAACUUUGUGCUCGGGCAUGUCUAAUAAAGGUGUUUUUCAUUAAAUAUAAUGUACAGCAUGCAAAAUUCUUCGUCUGCUCUGCCAUGCUUGUUAUCGCGAGAUCUCGUAGGUGGGUCUAAUGAAAAACCUAAAUUGACAAUCAGCUCGAAAAUGUAGUUACUCGAGCCACUUCGACAAAGAAAGGAAAAUCAUAUUGUUGCAGAAAGAAUUUACACUCUUCUGUUCGGUUUUUAACUUGAUAUUAAAUUCAAACCUUUUCAAUACCGACGAAAUAGCUUUCGCCUCCAUACUUGUCCAUUGAUGUAAAUACUACCUUAUAUGGCAUAUGCAAAUUACUUGACAAUCGGAAGUUGAAACUUCAGUACAUCAAACAUGGCGCACAAAUAUGAAUCGAGAAAUUGGAAUUUAUCGAAAUUGUUGAAAACGGUAGAAUAGAGCCUCACAAAUCUUAAGAUGCAGGUUGUAAAUUUAUAUAUUGACUAAGAAACAUAGAAUAUCAUUUUAUUUACGUAAAGAAAGUCAGGAAAUGUUUAGAAUGAGCGCAAAUGUUGCGGGAGUGAAUCACUCCCGCAUUUGCACCAUUUCGGAGAUCCUAAGGAGUUGUAGCCCUCUCCCCCCCCCCCCCCAAAAAAAAAUCAGAGAGGGCUACAUUAUUGCAGCUAUACAAGUACAUGCGCGGGGAUUCGGCUUUCUGAAAACCGAAGUUUCCGUUUCGAAGCAGAGGGUCGAACAGUCUUAAAUGUAUUAGUUUAAAAAAUACUCCUUUCUUAAUGAGAUGCUCAUAAAUAUGCAUACCGCAUCGGUAUCGACGCACAACAAACAUGUCGGAUUUAGCGGAAUGUACGAAGUCGGUUGGUUGCGCAACGCGAGAUCUCAGUAUUGUCCCCCCUCAUUACCUUCGGUUUUGUUGAAGAAACAAUAAAAACUUUAAACAAGAGUGAAGGAUGCAAAGAAGUUUCCAAGGGAUACAAAUAUUUCAGCGAGAAAUACAUCUCGGAUAUCAGAGUGUAUAAAUUGGAUGAUGGCUGUGUUGUUAAAGCUAGAUCCUACCGAUCACAGAAGAAAAAUGAGUCUCCACACACAAUGGAGAUACAUCUAAAAUCAGGACCAAUAUUUGAGAGAGAUGACAGCAGUUGCUCCUGUCCAAUUGGAACCUCUGGUGCAUGUGGUCACAUUACAGGUCUUUUGUAUACCCUUGCUCAUAUGAAAACAACUGGAAUGCUGGUUAUUCCAACAGAUGUAGCAAAAACCUCACUUCCACAAACAUGGCAUGUACCAAGAGGGGAAA